GAGCUGUGAGAGGCUGUACCUGCAGACGCUCAGGUAAACAAAGUGUCUCGCGGCCCACCAGGGGCUUACCCUGAAUAAGCCACGAACCAAGUUUGGAACCCCCUGAUCUAGAUCAUCCCUG